CGAAGGGCAACAUGUGACCCAUCUUCAUUUGUCCCAUUUCCCUCCAUUACCACAGCGUCUAGAGAGAGAACAUGACUGAGCGGCUGAGGUGGACUUAGGGUCCUCUUCUCCCAAACACUACGCCUCGAUCGAUCCCUGAAUAGCAUGCAAGUGUGGACAAGAUUCCCUUGGGAUCAAGGUUAGGGAGAGGGUUUCGGGCUCGCCCUAGCAUUUAUCAAGCGAAAUUGCUUCAAGAAUUGCAGUCUCUUCUUUGUUUCGUCUUCAAAUCGCUUGAGUUGCGGCAUCACCAAAUUUGUGCUUCUUAUUUGAGGUUCUGAUAGCGCUGAUUUUAAAAAAUGGCCCCGAUUCCUGAGAGAGCACUCGUAGCAUUGAAGCAAUGAAAGCCAUUGGGUUUCCGAUGCAUGUAGCGAAGCCUGUGCUAAAAUAUCUUCUCACGAUGUAUCAUAACAACUGGGAAUACAUUGAAGCCGAGAAUUAUAGAGUUCUCGCAGAUGCCAUACUUGAUGCGCAGGACUCUAAGAGUAACGAAUCAAGCUGAGGAAGCUCAAUUCUAAGACGAACAAAGGUAGCUGCAGAGUCAGGUUUACAGGUUAUCAAAUUACAGAAAUUCAGAUACAGAUUCUGAAAAACUUAAAUAACAGGGUUGUGGACUUCAGAGUUUCAGAGUUUAAGGUUGCAUAUUUGAAAACACUAAUUAUGGCUUCAGAUAUCAUUGACAUAGAGAGUUAGGGUAAGCAACAGAUGAUUUGGUUGCAGCUCUUAUCUUUGUCAAACUGGACGUGAGUUGUGAUCUUCAUAUCUGAAAGUGCCAAAAGCUCUAUUCUACUCUGACAACAGGCACCUCAGGGAGUUAAACAGGGAUGUGGUCGGCUCCUGUUUCCAUGAUUUAGCAGCCUGAAGCCACUUUUAACACUGCUAAUCCUGUCUCGAUUGUCUUUCCAUAGGAGUAUGCCUCAAAUCUAAAAACCCUUUUGUUUCAUUGUUUCCACAGGCACCACAUAAUUGCAGAAAUUACACAAAGUAUUGCUUGUUUAGAAGUUCCUGUUUUGAAAUUAGUCAUCCAUUCGCCCAGGAGGCCUUGAACAUUAUGUGGUGGGGGAGGUAGAGAAAAACGCUGGGUGAUCACAUUCCAAACUUGGGAGGAGAAUUAACAUGCAAGGAAUAGGUGGUCAACGCUUUCGUCCAUAGAACAACACAGAGGAUAGUGAUCAGGCGAUGGAAAUUUACG